rnacentral:rRNA from 1 species
UGGGGAAUAUUGCACAAUGGGGGAAACCCUGAUGCAGCGACGCCGCGUGGAGGAAGAAGGUCUUCGGAUUGUAAACUCCUGUUGUUGAGGAAGAUAAUGACGGUACUCAACAAGGAAGUGACGGCUAACUACGUGCCAGCAGCCGCGGUAAAACGUAGGUCACAAGCGUUGUCCGGAAUUACUGGGUGUAAAGGGAGUGCAGGCGGGAAGACAAGUUGGAAGUGAAAUCCAUGGGCUCAACCCAUGAACUGCUUUCAAAACUGUUUUUCUUGAGUAGUGCAGAGGUAGGCGGAAUUCCCGGUGUAGCGGUGGAAUGCGUAGAUAUCGGGAGGAACACCAGUGGCGAAGGCGGCCUACUGGGCACCAACUGACGCUGAGGCUCGAAAGUGUGGGUAGCAAACAGGAUUAGAUACCCUGGUAGUCCACACUGUAAACGAUGAUUACUAGGUGUUGGAGGAUUGACCCCUUCAGUGCCGCAGUUAACACAAUAAGUAAUCCACCUGGGGAGUACGACCGCAAGGUUGAAACUCAAAGGAAUUGACGGGGGCCCGCACAAGCAGUGGAGUAUGUGGUUUAAUUCGACGCAACGCGAAGAACCUUACCAAGUCUUGACAUCCUGCGACGCACAUAGAAAUAUGUGUUUCCUUCGGGACGCAGAGACAGGUGGUGCAUGGUUGUCGUCAGCUCGUGUCGUGAGAUGUUGGGUUAAGUCCCGCAACGAGCGCAACCCUUAUGGUCAGUUACUACGCAAGAGGACUCUGGCCAGACUGCCGUUGACAAAACGGAGGAAGGUGGGGAUGACGUCAAAUCAUCAUGCCCUUUAUGACUUGGGCUACACACGUACUACAAUGGCGUUAAACAAAGAGAAGCAAGACCGCGAGGUGGAGCAAAACUCAGAAACAACGUCCCAGUUCGGACUGCAGGCUGCAACUCGCCUGCACGAAGUCGGAAUUGCUAGUAAUCGCAGAUCAGCAUGCUGCGGUGAAUACGUUCCC